UACGUAGGGUGCGAGCGUUAAUCGGAAUUACUGGGCGUAAAGUGUGCGCAGGCGGCCGCGCAAGUCGAGUGUGAAAGCCCCCGGGCUUAACUUGGGAAUUGCGCUCGAAACUACGUGGCUGGAGUGUGGCAGAGGAAGGUGGAAUUCCACGUGUAGCGGUGAAAUGCGUAGAGAUGUGGAGGAACACCAAUGGCGAAGGCAGCCUCUGGGCCAACACUGACGCUCAUGCACGAAAGCGUGGGGAGCAAACAGG
rnacentral:rRNA from 1 species